UUGGGUAAGCUGGUGCAAGCGUACGAUUUUUAUUGCCUCUUACACUUUGAGAAGCGAAUAAUCUUUAGCUACAUUGUACAUUAUUUAAAUAUUGUGUAAAAACGUUAAUUAUGAGCUAUGAAAGUCGAGUGGCUCGAGCAUUUUUCUGAGGAAGUUUUAAAAAAUUGCAAAGAAAUAUUUUAACAGUGGGUUAGCUUUCAUUAGUCUUCACUAUCUAUAGAUUAACAACUUUUGGUUAUAUUUACAAUUUAGAAUCAUCAUUGCAGGUGGAGCAUGAUUGCACAGUUAAUUAAUUAUAUUGAUGUGCCAUUUGUAUGCAAGAGUGACAUUCUGUUUUAUUAUGUGCCAAUUCGAAAAAGUUAUGCGAGUAUUG
rnacentral:lncRNA from 1 species